rnacentral:rRNA from 1 species
GACGGAGGAUGCAAGCGUUAUCCGGAAUGAUUGGGCGUAAAGCGUCCGCAGGCGGCAGUUCAAGUCUGCUGUCAAGGACCGGGGCUUAACUUCGGAAAGGCAGUGGAAACUGAACAGCUAGAGUAUGGUAGGGGCAGAGGGAAUUCCUGGUGUAGCGGUGAAAUGCGCAGAUAUCAGGAAGAACACCAAUGGCGAAAGCAGCUUUCUGGGACGGUACUGACGCUGAGACGCGAAAGCGUGGGGAGCGAACAGG